rnacentral:tRNA from 2 species
CGAGAUGAAGCUCAUGGGCGAGCGUCGGGGAUGAAAUCCCGAAGGUAUCGGUUCGAAUCCGAUCUUCUCAC